rnacentral:lncRNA from 1 species
CACACAAAGCAGUCUUCAACAGAGAAUGAGUUGCACUAAGACACAUCCACAGUGGAUUAUCUCCUUCGAGGCCAAGCUCCUUGGCCCAGGAGGUGGCGAGUGUCUUGUCCUUACCUACUGCUCGCAUUGAGAACACCUCAACAAGUCUCCGCUUCGAACUUUCAUUUACCAUUGUAUCUCCGCCGACGAAGGUCUUGAGCCAUCGCUUUCCCAUCGUCACUCAUGAAUUCUUCCUUCCAGACGGCUUGCUUUCCAUAAGCACCGAUAUCCAUGUCCUCAGAGAUGAGAAUUUGCCAACCGCCCUUGCUCUUUUGGAUGCAGCUAACCUAUCUACACCCUCAACGCUCAGUUCAUUUCUAAGUCUGCCUAACGAUAUCCCACUACCACACCUGAGCAUACACUUAAGUGCGGAGUCUGCGAUCCUCUGUAGCGGCUAUAAUGUAAUUACCAUUACGGUAUACAAACACCCAAAAUCUGCUCAUGACCUUUUUCUUCCGACAUUGGCCAAUCGCCCCAUGCCAUUUCGCGAACUGGCUGGCCAAACACCGAAAUCAAGGAAAGAUCGGAUAUUGGCCAGUCAUUGUGAGGCGAUAUUGGCUGUUUCCUGAUUUGGCCGGCCAAUUCGAGAACUGGCCGAAUUCGGGCUUUGGCCGUAACAUAUAUAAUAACCUUGGAAUGUUUCCACUUACAAGUUAA